AUUUGUUGAAGCUCUCAAACAUGUUUUUAGCAAAGUGCCAACCAACUAACCCCAUAAUUUGUUUGAUUACAUUUCUUUUUCUUUCAGAUCUAACAUGGGGUGGUAAAAUCUGAUCGUUAGCAGAGAUUCCCCGCUGGGAUUAAAGCAGACAGCAUCUAAUCAUCUGCUUUGCAACAUGCAAGAUUUUAAAGCUAGUUCUGUUUUUUUAUGGCACCAGGUCAACGCAAAGUUGAAAGUAGGAUCAAAGAUUCUCCAGCACACAUGCAUUCACAAAAUACACAGAGACAGCAGCUCUAACAAGCAUCUAUUUUCAUGUUCAUUAGAUUUAGUUGCAGAGUGAAAAUGUUGCUUAUUAUAUUGGGAUUUACAGUACAUAUACACACAGAGUCAAGUUUUCAGAUUUUCAAAGAGUCUCUUGUUUAAUUUGACCAUAAUAUCAUCAUCUUUUAUGUUUUGCUGGUUUACUCUCAUGCAUAAUGUUUUCCAGCAGUCGUCUUUCUGCACGUAUUCAUGCUCCAGGAAAUGAAGAGCUUUGGGAAAAUCAGCUGGGGGUCUCUUACUAGCCUCCCGAAAUCAUGAAGCUUAUCUUGUUUUGUUUUAUGAUGUCAAGUUCAGCUAAUCGGAGGAACAUCUGAAGUUGAUCCUCUACUGAAGCAUAAUGAUGAACUCCAUUAAGUCUCACAACUAUGAAACAUCCAUUAAAGAGCCACUUAGCAUGUUUUCCUCUGGGUAUAGGUUCAAAGAAACUUCUUAUCAACAACCGUUUUUGGCUGUUUAGGUUUCUUGAGUUGCUUUUUGCAUUUUAGAAGUUCUUCAUAUUGUUUUUCUUGGUUUUUAAGCAACAGGGCACAGAUGGUUUUCUGAAGAAUUAUAAUAAAAAUACUUUAUGGAACUUCAAUAGUAUACAUCCCUUUGUAGUUUUAAUUGGAACUUGAGCAGUAAUCUUUUACAGCAGAAGGCUUGAGUCUGUUCUUCAAAUUCUUUAAAUAUUCUGGGCCAGUUUGAUCUUCGCCAUUGAACCAUUUCAUGCAAAACUGCAUAAACAUUUAACUUUAUGUGCUUGCUUGGACUUGGCUGUUUUUUACAGGAGCACCCAUCCACCCACUCGCACAUCAACACGCCCCUCACAUGGAUGUCCUUCCGCCAUCCGGAUAUCUGACUGCCACAUGUAAAUUAAGCGCUCCCUUUGGAACCUGUUGCCAUAGAAACUCUCAUUAAGAGCCAAGAGACAUGAAACAUUUGCAUGUAUUCAGACUCCUCUGAGGAUGGUUUGGGUCAGUGUGUGUAUCUUAUCAAUAUGUUCAAUAUUAUUGGUACUCUUGAUCUUCCUAAUUACAUCUGACUAUUCAGAUUGGUACCCAAUAUUUAAAUAUGAAUCAGUCAAGUUGGGUUGCCAUUUAAGACAUGGCAAGCCUCAUACAUGUUCUAUUAAAUGGAAAGUCAUAAAGGUCAGAUGAGAAAGAGAGAAAUUAAAAGAGGGGUAAAGAGAAUGGAUUUUAUUUGUUUUUCUGUGUUAGGGAUUUACAUGGUAAAUGUUAGUCACAAAUGUCAGCCUAAAUCAGUGAACAGAGAAAGAGAGAUAUUACUUAUUUUACCAUUUAUUUUGAGCACAAGUGCACUGCCAAAACAUAUCUAUGGCAGUAUGUGAACUAAUCCAGCAAUUAAACCCCAAAUUAAAAUUAUUUCUUUGUGCCUUUUCAUGGACCACAAAAAAAGAUAUUGGACAAAAUGUUUAAAUUACAAACAAU
ensembl:lncRNA